UUUUGAAGACAAGAUUUAGAUGAUUAAUUUUUUUGUAAAGUUUGUGGAAAAUACUCUCGAUACAUAACGCUGUCUGUUCAGACGGUGCAUAAAAAAAUAGUAUUGAGGAUUUUUUUUUUCAAUUAAAUAAAUCAGAUUUUGUUAUUAUAAUAAUUUAAAAGUGGAUGGUUGCUUGCUAUAACCUGCGCAAUAGGAACCUACCGGCCCUGUAAUCAAAAAACCAAUUGUCAUUAAUAUUUUCUCUUUUUUCUUUUAUCAACGCUUGACACACAAUUUGUGUUGUUUAAAAUACAAAAAGUCCCGAUUGAAAGGUGUGGUUAAAAUUUUGAUGUGAAGGCAAUUUGUUGAAACAUUGAAAACUUUGUUACUGCUUUUUCUGUACAUAGAUCGCCAAUUGGAGUAUGUUUUGUAAAAGGUUGCUUGGGCAUGCCGAGGAAUUAAAGAAAAAUUGAGGCCAGUUACUCACAGCGAUAACGUUGACGAAGGUGGUCUUCCCCGAGCACUGGAGUCCGACUAGGGUCAGCUCCAUCUCCUCCUUCCAGAACAGGCUCCGGAACCAGUCUAGUAUCCUGUUUAUGACGGAGAGCAUGUUGAAUUUAUUCUCGCCCUUCGGGUCGUCUGGGUUUUGUCCAGGAAACGGGGGUACAAAUCGAAAUCCCUUUCGGAACAGAGGC